rnacentral:rRNA from 2 species
CGUAUCACUUAAAGCGAUUCAGCGGGUUACGAUUGACGGAGCGAAGCGACGUCAAAGCGUAUACAAAGUCGAGUCGGUUUAAGGAUACGUUCGUUGGGUAGGGGAGCGUUCUGUAAGCCUGUGAAGGUGGCCUGUGAGGGUUGCUGGAGGUAUCAGAAGUGCGAAUGCUGACAUAAGUAACGAUAAAGCGGGUGAAAAGCCCGCUCGCCGGAAGACCAAGGGUUCCUGUCCAACGUUAAUCGGGGCAGGGUGAGUCGACCCCUAAGGCGAGGCCGAAAGGCGUAGUCGAUGGGAAACGGGUUAAUAUUCCCGUACUUGGUGUUACUGCGAAGGGGGGACGGAGAAGGCUAUGUUGGCCGGGCGACGGUUGUCCCGGUUUAAGCGUGUAGGUGUGUGUUCCAGGUAAAUCCGGUUCACUUUAACACUGAGGCGUGAUGACGAGGCACUACGGUGCUGAAGUAACAAAUGCCCUGCUUCCAGGAAAAGCCUCUAAGCAUCAGGUAACAUCAAAUCGUACCCCAAACCGACACAGGUGGUCAGGUAGAGAAUACCAAGGCGCUUGAGAGAACUCGGGUGAAGGAACUAGGCAAAAUGGUGCCGUAACUUCGGGAGAAGGCACGCUGACAC